CUUUCUUUGUGAGACUUUUGCACCAGACCUAUUUCUGCUUUUCUGCCAAAUAAGUUGUACUAUUAGUGUUUACUUGUGGCACAGCCCUUCCCUUUUCGUUUGUUAUUUUUGUUUUAUGAUUGUUCCAUUCUGUUAUAACUAGAGUUGAGCGAAUCCGGACUGUAAAGUUCGGGUUCUUACCGAACAUUACGUUUUUGGGAUCCCG